rnacentral:ncRNA from 2 species
GGACGCGGCCGUGACUGGCGCAUUGGUGGAGCACCACCGGGGAGCGGCCGACCUGUGGGAUCACCCCCUGCCGCGCGCCUGGGCGAGCCAG